CGUAGGCGCAAGCGUUGUCCGGAUUAUUGGGCGUAAGAGUUCGUAGGCGGUCUGUCGCGUCGGAAGUGAAACCCGGAGCUCAACUCCGGGCCUGCUUUCGAUACGGGCAGACUUGAGUGUUGCAGGGAGACUGGAAUUCCUGGUGUAGCGGUGGAAUGCGCAGAUAUCAGGAGGAACACCGGUGGCGAAGGCGGGUCUCUGGGCAACAACUGACGCUGAGGAACGAAGCGUGGGAGCGAACAGGAUU
rnacentral:rRNA from 1 species